rnacentral:lncRNA from 1 species
CCUUCUCUCAGACCAAGCUUACAAACCCCUUGUAAAACCCUAUUUUCUGGAUUUCAGAUUAUCAAUUGAUGCCGUCUGUGGGAACGAAGGAGGUCUUUUCAUCGCUGGAGUUCCAUUCUCAAACAACACCCACUGAGAUCCACAAUGGCCAAUCAUAACGAAAACAACAUUGUUAACACCCCCAAUGACUUGAGCUCUGUCCAAGAGGGACAGCAGUUCGCUUUCUCUAGCCCCACAACUCCUAACAACCAACCACCAAUCCCUUUCAAUCCCUCGCCGAGCUCGGCGGGGAAUGUACCUGGAAACACCCUAUCCAACCAAGACCUCCGAGCCGUGGC